rnacentral:tRNA from 1 species
GCGGCGGUGGCGGAACUGGUAGACGCGCAAGAUUGAGGGUCUUGUGGGCGUAAGCCCGUGGGGGUUCGAGUCCCCCCCGCCGCA